UACGGAGGGGGCAAGCGUUGUCCGGACUUACUGGGCGUAAAGGGUGCGUAGGCGGUUGCAUGCGUCCGCGCUGAAAUCCCGAGGCUCAACCUCGGGGCGCGUGCGGAUACGAUGCGACUUGAGGCUCGGAGAGGGUGGGAGAACUCCUGGUGUAGUGGUGAAAUGCGUAGAGAUCCGGAGGAACACCAGUGGCGAAGGCGACUUUCUGGCCUGUUCUUGACGCUGAGGCGCGAAAAGCUAGGGGAGCAAACGGG
rnacentral:rRNA from 1 species